CAGUAGCCGCGGUAAUACGAGGGGGGCAAGCGUUGUCCGGAAUUAUUGGGCGUAAAGGGCUCGCAGGCGGUUUCUUAAGUCUGAUGUGAAAGCCCCCGGCUCAACCGGGGAGGGUCAUUGGAAACUGGGAAGCUUGAGUGCAGAAGAGGAGAGUGGAAUUCCACGUGUAGCGGUGAAAUGCGUAGAGAUGUGGAGGAACACCAGUGGCGAAGGCGACUCUCUGGUCUGUAACUGACGCUGAGGAGCGAAAGCGUGGGGAGCGAACAGGAUUAGAUACCCCCGUAGUCCCUGUCUCUUAUAC
rnacentral:rRNA from 1 species